rnacentral:rRNA from 1 species
UAUUGGGCGUAAAGAGCUCGUAGGCGGUUUGUCGCGUCUGCCGUGAAAGUCCGGGGCUUAACCCCGGAUCUGCGGUGGGUACGGGCAGACUGGAGUGCAGUAGGGGAGACUGGAAUUCCUGGUGUAGCGGUGAAAUGCGCAGAUAUCAGGAGGAACACCGAUGGCGAAGGCAGGUCUCUGGGCUGUUACUGACGCUGAGGAGCGAAAGCAUGGGGAGCGAACAGGAUUAGAUACCCUGGUAGUCCAUGCCGUAAACGUUGGGCACUAGGUGUGGGGGCCAUUCCACGGUUUCCGCGCCGCAGCUAACGCAUUAAGUGCCCCGCCUGGGGAGUACGGCCGCAAGGCUAAAACUCAAAGGAAUUGACGGGGGCCCGCACAAGCGGCGGAGCAUGCGGAUUAAUUCGAUGCAACGCGAAGAACCUUACCAAGGCUUGACAUGUUCCCGACCGGGCCAGAGAUGGUCCUUCCCCUUUGGGGCGGGUUCACAGGUGGUGCAUGGUUGUCGUCAGCUCGUGUCGUGAGAUGUUGGGUUAAGUCCCGCAACGAGCGCAACCCUCGUUCCAUGUUGCCAGCGGGUUAUGCCGGGGACUCAUGGGAGACUGCCGGGGUCAACUCGGAGGAAGGUGGGGACGACGUCAAAUCAUCAUGCCCCUUAUGUCUUGGGCUUCACGCAUGCUACAAUGGCCGGUACAAUGGGUUGCGAUACUGUGAGGUGGAGCUAAUCCCAAAAAGCCGGUCUCAGUUCGGAUUGGGGUCUGCAACUCGACCCCAUGAAGUCGGAGUCGCUAGUAAUCGCAGAUCAGCAA